CCUACGUGUGGCAGCAGUCGAGAAUUAUUCACAAUUGGGGAAACCCUGAUGGUGCGACGCCGCGUGGGGGAAUGAAGGUCUUCGGAUUGUAAACCCCUGUCAUGUGGGAGCAAAUUAAAAAGAUAGUACCACAAGAGGAAGACACGGCUAACUCUGUGCCAGCAGCCGCGGUAAUACAGAGGUCUCAAGCGUUGUUCGGAAUCACUGGGCGUAAGGCGUGCGUAGGCUGUUUCGUACGUAGGGUGUGAAAGGCGCGGGCUCAACCCGCGGAGGGAACAUGAUACUGGGAGACUAGAGUAAGGGAGGGGGAACCGGAAUUCUCGGUGUAGCAGUGAAAUGCGUAGAUAUCGAGAGGAACACUCGUGGCGAAGGCGGGUUCCUGGACAUUAACUGACGCUGAGGCACGAAGGCCAGGGGAGCGAAAGGGAUUAGAUACCCGAGUAGUC
rnacentral:rRNA from 1 species